CAUAUGUUUAAAUUUCAGCCAAAUAAAAGUCCUCUUGUGAUUUUCUAAAACAUUUAUCAUAUUUUCUACCAAAUAGGAUCGACAGAACUUGACUUAGAAAGCUGGCACACAGCUUCACGGAAGCAGCUUCUAGAGGAAUGCUAUCCAACAUAACUUUCUGUGAUGACAGAAAUGUACUACAGCUGCCUUGUCCAAUAAGGAGCCAUGGAAGUCAAAUGCUGAGGAUGGUGGCAUCAUAGGAUGAAUGGAGCUGGGUUCUUGAAACACUGCCUGGAGGAAAGACAGCAAAAAUGCCUCAUGAAUCCAACUGGACUGUUAGGAUGCUCACCCUUGGAGACCAGCAACAAUGUGUGCAGAAACCCAGGCCAUGUGGAGAGGCCCCACAUACGUGUCCAACUGAGGUCCCAGCUGACAGCUGGCAUUGACAUGUGAGUGAGACUCUGAACGUUCCAGCUGAUGACAAGUACAGUUUGAGCGAGCUAUCCCUGUUGGGCCUGUCAAAACUGCAGAUUUCAUGAAGAAAAUAAGUGUUGUUGACUUAAGCCAGUAAGUUUUGACAUACUAUGUUACACAGCCAUAGUAGCUGGAAGAGUGUGAAACAAAUACUAUUCUCUUGUGUCUCAUUUCUCUAUAAAGUAUAUCUUCCCCCUUCCUUGCAUAGGGAUUCUUUCUCCUUUUCUCUCAGACAGUUCUGCUAUUAUCCCUGCUAGUGAUGCUAUUACUACUUCAAAUACUAUUGUUUUUAUAUCUGUUGCUACUACUGAAAAUAAGAUAAUUUUAUAACUAAUGUUGAGUAUGCAUCUACUAUAUAGAUUUACAUCCUUAACAUGUAUUAAAUCACGUAAUUCUUACAUCAAAAGCAUGGAAUUGUAUCACCCCAAGAUUCAUAUGUUGAAGUCCUCACCUUUAGUAUUCACAAUGUGACCUGUUUGGAGAUAUGGUCUUUAAAGAUGUGAAAUGAAGCCAUUAAAGUAGUCCUUAAUCCAAUA
rnacentral:lncRNA from 10 species